UCCGGUGAUGAUGGCGAAGGGGUUCCACCUGUUCCCAUACCGAACACAGAAGUUAAGCCCUUCAGCGCCGAUGGUACUUGGCUGGACACGGCCCGGGAGAGUAGGACGUUGCCGGAA
rnacentral:rRNA from 1 species